UAAGAUCGGGUUUGAUUUCUUUGGGUGCUGCGUGGAAUGGGAAUUUUUGAAGAAAUGGGUUUCUGUGGUAAUCUUGAUUUUCUAUCGGCUCCACCAGGGGAAGGAGAGGUGGCUCCUGAAAAUGAACCAGAGGCAACUGUGGAGGAGGAUUAUUCUGAUGAGGAGAUGGAUGUUGAUGAGCUUGAGAGGAGGAUGUGGAGGGAUCGCAUGCUGCUGAGGCGGCUUAAAGAACAAAACAAGGGUAAGGAGGGAGUGGACAAUGCUAAGCAGCGCCAGUCCCAGGAGCAAGCUCGAAGGAAGAAGAUGUCCCGAGCACAGGAUGGGAUACUGAAAUACAUGCUGAAAAUGAUGGAAGUUUGUAAAGCUCAGGGUUUUGUCUAUGGUAUCAUUCCCGAGAAGGGGAAACCAGUGAGCGGAGCAUCUGACAAUCUCCGGGCAUGGUGGAAGGAGAAGGUGAGGUUUGAUCGGAAUGGCCCUGCUGCGAUUGCGAAAUACCAGGCUGAUCAUUCAAUUCCUGGAAAGAAUGAGGACUGCAAUACAAUGGCAUCCACCCCCCAUACCCUGCAGGAGCUACAAGACACCACACUUGGAUCACUUUUGUCAGCUUUGAUGCAGCACUGCGACCCACCUCAGAGGCGGUUCCCAUUGGAGAAGGGUAUUGCACCACCUUGGUGGCCUACUGGGAAUGAAGAAUGGUGGCCUCAAUUGGGAUUGCCCAAAGAUCAGGGUCCUCCCCCAUACAAGAAGCCUCAUGAUCUAAAGAAGGCUUGGAAGGUCAGUGUUCUCACUGCAGUGAUCAAGCACAUGUCCCCUGACAUUGCUAAGAUCCGCAAGCUUGUUCGUCAGUCUAAAUGCUUGCAGGAUAAGAUGACUGCCAAAGAGAGUGCCACUUGGCUGGCCAUUAUCAACCAGGAAGAGGCGUUGUCCCGAAAACUGUAUCCUGACAGCUGCCCACCUGUGCCUUUGGCUGGUGGGAGUGGAUCUUUUGUCAUCAGUGACACCAGUGAUUAUGAUGUUGAGGGUGUGGAAGAUGAGGCCAACAUUGAAGUGGAGGAGUGCAAGCCCCGUGAUGUCAAUCUCUUCAAUUUAGGCGUAGGAGCCAGAGAUAGGCUUAUGGUGCCACCACUGGCUCCUUCGAUCAAGGGAGAGCUUGUAGAGACCAACUCAGAUUUCAUCCAGAAGAGGAAGCAGCCACCUGAUGAGCCGCAUAUAAUGAUGGAUCAGAAAAUGUAUACCUGUGAAUACACUCAAUGCCCCUACAACAAUUACCGUCUUGCGUUUCUCGACAGGGCAUCCAGAAACAAUCAUCAGAUGAAUUGUCUAUACAGGAGUAAUUCUUCACAAGGGUUUGGAAUGUCGAAUUUCCAAAUUAACAAUGAGAAACCAGCAGCCUUCUCUCUACCCUUUGCUCAACCCAAGGCAGCAGCUCCACCAGUGAACCAGUCUCCUGCUUUCAAUGUUUCAGGACUUGGACUUCCAGAAGAUGGGCAAAAAAUGAUUUCUGACCUAAUGUCAUUCUAUGACACAAAUCUCCAGCGAAACAAGAGCUUGAAUCCUGGGAACCUUAAUGUUAUGGAAGAU
rnacentral:lncRNA from 1 species